rnacentral:rRNA from 1 species
GAUCAUGGCUCAGAUUGAACGCUGGCGGCAUGCUUUACACAUGCAAGUCGAACGGCAGCACAGGGAGCUUGCUCCCGGGUGGCGAGUGGCGCACGGGUGAGUAAUACAUCGGAACGUGUCCUGUUGUGGGGGAUAACUGCUCGAAAGGGUGGCUAAUACCGCAUGAGACCUGAGGGUGAAAGCGGGGGAGUCGCAAGACCUCGCGCAACUGAGCGGCCGAUNCCCG